GGUCUCUAAAUAAUAUUCUAAGUGAAAAAGGAAGUGAAAAAUAAUUACAACCAGUAGGUAGGCUUGGAAGCAGCCAUCCUUUAAAGAAAGCGUAAUAGCUCAUUGGUCUAGUUUUUUUGCGCCUAAAAUGUAUCGAGACUUAAGAAAUUUACCGAAGCGGCAAGUUUUAUUUAUAAUAAAACGGUAGCGGAACAUUCUGUAUGUUGAUAAAGAUAUGUUGUAAAAUAUAUUGAAGAUAUCAGAAAAGAAAACGCUGGCAUUAGUAACAAAAAAUAAUGAAUAAGAAUCAUUAUCACCGUAAAUCCAAGGGUUUCUAUGUUAAAAUGUAUUUCAUAGAGUGAAACGGCCCCUAAGAAAGAUUUGACGAAAGCAAAUUUUGAUGGGAUAAUUUUUAAAUUAAAUUUUUUAAAAAAAGUGACAAAAAGUUUUACUUUUUCAGGAAAUAGCUUUUUUUAAAAAAAACCGUACCCUAAACCGACACAGGUGGAUAGGUCGAGUAGACUAAGGUGGAUGAGAGAAUUAUAUUGAAGGAACUCGGCAAAAUGACUCUGUAACUUCGGGAUAAAGAGUACCUAAAUAUUAUAUUUAGGUGUCACAAAAUAGGGGGUUGCGACUGUUUAAUAAAAACUUAGGACUCUGCUAAAUGGUAACAUGAUGUAUAGGGUCUGACACCUGCCCGGUGCUGGAAGAUUAAUAGGAGAUGUUUGCGCAUUGAAUGGAAGUCCCAGUAAACGGCGGCCGUAACUCUGACGGUCCUAAGGUAGCGAAAUUCCUUGUCGGGUAAGUUCCGACCUGCAUGAAUGGUGUAACGACAUCCCCGCUGUCUCCAAUAUAAACUCAGUGAAUUUGAAUUAUCCGUGAAGAUGCGGAUUCUCUAUAGUUAGACGGAAAGACCCCGUGAACCUUUACUACAUCUUUAUAUUGUUAUUUUAUCUAAUAUGUGUAGCAUAAGUGGGAAUCAAUAAGACCUUCACGCUAGUGAAUUGUUUAGAUAACAUUGAA
rnacentral:ncRNA from 1 species